CACGUAGGGGACGAGCGUUGUCCGGAUUCAUUGGGCGUAAAGCGCGCGUAGGCGGCUCGGAAAGUCGGUCGUGAAAUGCCGGGCUCAACCCCGGGACUGCGUCCGAUACUUCCGGGCUGGAGGUAGGUAGGGGAGAUCGGAAUUCCUGGUGUAGCGGUGAAAUGCGCAGAUAUCAGGAGGAACACCGGUGGCGAAGGCGGAUCUCUGGGCCUUACCUGACGCUGAGGCGCGAAAGCUAGGGGAGCGAACGGG
rnacentral:rRNA from 1 species